CACGUAGGGCGCGAGCGUUGUCCGGAAUUAUUGGGCGUAAAGAGCUCGUAGGCGGCCUGUUGCGUCCGCUGUGAAAGCCCGGGGCUUAACCCCCGGGGUCGGCAGUGGAUACGGGCAGGCUAGAGGUAGGUAGGGGAGAAUGGAAUUCCCGGUGUAGCGGUGAAAUGCGCAGAUAUCAGGAGGAACACCAAUGGCGGAGGCAGAUCUCUGGGCCGUAACUGACGCUGAGGAGCGAAAGCAUGGGGAGCGAACAGG
rnacentral:rRNA from 1 species